GACGAACGCUGGCGGCGUGCCUAAUACAUGCAAGUUGAGCGAUGAAGAUUGGUGCUUGCACCAAUUUGAAGAGCAGCGAACGGGUGAGUAACGCGUGGGGAAUCUGCCUUUGAGCGGGGGACAACAUUUGGAAACGAAUGCUAAUACCGCAUAACAACUUUAAACAUAAGUUUUAAGUUUGAAAGAUGCAAUUGCAUCACUCAAAGAUGAUCCCGCGUUGUAUUAGCUAGUUGGUGAGGUAAAGGCUCACCAAGGCGAUGAUACAUAGCCGACCUGAGAGGGUGAUCGGCCACAUUGGGACUGAGACACGGCCCAAACUCCUACGGAGGCAGCAGUAGGGAAUCUUCGGCAAUGGACGAAAGUCUGACCGAGCAACGCCGCGUGAGUGAAGAAGGUUUUCGGAUCGUAAAACUCUGUUGGUAGAGAAGAACGUUGGUGAGAGUGGAAAGCUCAUCAAGUGACGGUAACUACCCAGAAAGGGACGGCUAACUACGUG
rnacentral:rRNA from 1 species